GUACGUCCCAACUGUGGCCUGGAUGUGUCGUUCUGCCUGAAGACAGGGUAGGGCCCAGUCUCUGAGGGAAGGCAGCAGAGUCCUCCGCUGUGGAGAGCUGAUGUGUGCGUCCAUCUUUGACUAUGAGGGCUCGAGAGGGGCCCCACUUGUAGCUGAUAUUUGCGGAGCGCAGGUUCUUUGUUACAUGUUGGAAGGACCGUCUCCAUUCCAGGGUGGAGCGACAUAAGUCCAGCAGGAAUUGGAGUUGCAUCUCCUCAAAC